rnacentral:rRNA from 1 species
AGCGGAGGAAAAGAAAAUAACAAUGAUUCCCCUAGUAACUGCGAGUGAAGAGGGACAAGCUCAAAUUUUAANUCCAUCGGGUUUUACCUGAUCGAGUUGUAAUUUGAAGAGGCGUUUUCUGUGUUUCUGAUCAGUCCAAGUCCUUUGGGAUAAGGCAUCAUGGAGGGUGAGAAUCCCGUCCGGUUGAUCAGAUUCGCUUUACGAUACGCUUUCUAAGAGUCAAGUUGUUUGGGAUUGCAGCUUAAAAUGGGAGGUAAAUUUCUCCUAAGGCUAAAUAACGGCGAGAGACCGAUAGCGAACAAGUACCGUGAGGGAAAGAUGAAAAGAACUUUGAAAAGAGAGUUAAAUAGUACGUGAAAUUGUUGAAAGGGAAACGAUUGAAGCCAGUCGUACCUAUGGGUAAUCAGCCUUUUGGGUGUGAUUUUGUGGAGCGUGAGGAGUUAAACGCCUUCAUGCCUGCAUAUUCGUGCACUUUGGGUGUACUUGCCCGUAUGGUUGGUUAACAUCAAUUUUGGUGGUCAUAAAAUGACUGGAGGAAUGUAGCUUCGAUCUCGUAUUGAAGUGUUAUAGCCUUCGGUAGAUGUGAUGAUCGAGAUUGAGGAUUGCAACGGAUACCCUUCGGGGCUACCUGUCUGAUCUCUGAUCGUUGCUCUGGUGCCGAAAGCUUGCUUACGGUUAUCAAAGUCGAUGGUCAAUAGGUUAGAACGGGUUAAAYKYRWKRAGGAUGUUGACGUAAUGGCUUUAAACGACCCGUCUUGA